rnacentral:rRNA from 1 species
UUUAAGCGUGUAGGCUGGUUUUCCAGGCAAAUCCGGAAAACCAAGGCUGAGGCGUGAUGACGAGGCACUACGGUGCUGAAGCGACAAAUGCCCUGCUUCCAGGAAAAGCCUCUAAGCAUCAGGUAACAUCAAAUCGUACCCCAAACCGACACAGGUGGUCAGGUAGAGAAUACCAAGGCGCUUGAGAGAACUCGGGUGAAGGAACUAGGCAAAAUGGUGCCGUAACUUCGGGAGAAGGCACGCUGAUAUGUAGGUGAAGCGACUUGCUCGUGGAGCUGAAAUCAGUCGAAGAUACCAGCUGGCUGCAACUGUUUAUUAAAAACACAGCACUGUGCAAACACGAAAGUGGACGUAUACGGUGUGACGCCUGCCCGGUGCCGGAAGGUUAAUUGAUGGGGUUAGCGGUAACGCGAAGCUCUUGAUCGAAGCCCCGGUAAACGGCGGCCGUAACUAUAACGGUCCUAAGGUAGCGAAAUUCCUUGUCGGGUAAGUUCCGACCUGCACGAAUGGCGUAAUGAUGGCCAGGCUGUCUCCACCCGAGACUCAGUGAAAUUGAACUCGCUGUGAAGAUGCAGUGUACCCGCGGCAAGACGGAAAGACCCCGUGAACCUUUACUAUAGCUUGACACUGAACAUUGAGCCUUGAUGUGUAGGAUAGGUGGGAGGCUUUGAAGUGUGGACGCCAGUCUGCAUGGAGCCGACCUUGAAAUACCACCCUUUAAUGUUUGAUGUUCUAACGUUGGCCCGUAAUCCGGGUUGCGGACAGUGUCUGGUGGGUAGUUUGACUGGGGCGGUCUCCUCCUAAAGAGUAACGGAGGAGCACGAAGGUUGGCUAAUCCUGGUCGGACAUCAGGAGGUUAGUGCAAUGGCAUAAGCCAGCUUGACUGCGAGCGUGACGGCGCGAGCAGGUGCGAAAGCAGGUCAUAGUGAUCCGGUGGUUCUGAAUGGAAGGGCCAUCGCUCAACGGAUAAAAGGUACUCCGGGGAUAACAGGCUGAUACCGCCCAAGAGUUCAUAUCGACGGCGGUGUUUGGCACCUCGAUGUCGGCUCAUCACAUCCUGGGGCUGAAGUAGGUCCCAAGGGUAUGGCUGUUCGCCAUUUAAAGUGGUACGCGAGCUGGGUUUAGAACGUCGUGAGACAGUUCGGUCCCUAUCUGCCGUGGGCGCUGGAGAACUGAGGGGGGCUGCUCCUAGUACGAGAGGACCGGAGUGGACGCAUCACUGGUGUUCGGGUUGUCAUGCCAAUGGCACUGCCCGGUAGCUAAAUGCGGAAGAGAUAAGUGCUGAAAGCAUCUAAGCACGAAACUUGC